GAAAGAACUGAGUAUGAAUCAUGUGGAGCUGGAGUAGUAAUAUGCUUUUUGGUUUGUUUGACGUGGAGUUGUUCAGGUAUCUCUCCUCUGAACCUUCCCAUGUCACUCAAAGAGCCAUUACUUCCGAGUGCUGGAGGAGUGGUGUUAGAUAACUGAAAUUGCAACAGCUUCAAUUCCCUUUCAACUACAUAAACAGCAGUAUGUUCACGACUUCCUGU
rnacentral:lncRNA from 1 species